rnacentral:rRNA from 1 species
GUUAGGCCUUCAAAGUGAUAGUUGACUACCCCCUAAAUUUAAGCAU